rnacentral:tRNA from 3 species
UAACGAUGUAUUUUAUACAGAAUACUGGGUUUGCGUCUCAGAGGUGGAUUUUCUCUUCGUUAU